AUUGAACGCUGGCGGCAUGCCUUACACAUGCAAGUCGAACGGCAGCACGGGAGUAAUCCUGGUGGCGAGUGGCGAACGGGUGAGUAAAGCAUCGGAACGUGCCCAGUCGUGGGGGAUAACGUAGCGAAAGCUACGCUAAUACCGCAUACGAUCUGUGGAUGAAAGCGGGGGACCGUAAGGCCUCGCGCGAUUGGAGCGGCCGAUGUCAGAUUAGGUAGUUGGUGAGGUAAAGGCUCACCAAGCCGACGAUCUGUAGCUGGUCUGAGAGGACGACCAGCCACACUGGGACUGAGACACGGCCCAGACUCCUACGAGAGGCAGCAGUGGGGAAUUUUGGACAAUGGGCGCAAGCCUGAUCCAGCAAUGCCGCGUGCAGGAUGAAGGCCUUCGGGUUGUAAACUGCUUUUGUACGGAGCGAAAAGGCUUCCACUAAUACUGGGGGCUCAUGACGGUACCGUAAGAAUAAGCACCGGCUAACUACGUG
rnacentral:rRNA from 1 species